UUUCAACUUAUUUGAACAAAAUUUAACCAAACCAUAAAGGAUUCACUUAAAAGCAAUGGCAACAUAUCAUUUGAGAUACUUAAUUUGAAUUUUACAGUUAUUCUUCAAAGGCAGCUUUAAUUUCUGAUGGUAUAUUAUUGGAGCUUUUAUGAAUGCAGUUUUGAACUACAUGGGCAGCAAAAUCAAUUGCUGAAGCACAAAGGCAUGAUCAAAACUCAUGGCAGCCUCAAGUUCCUGGGUUCAAAUGAUCCUCUCACCUCAGCCUUGCAAGUAGAGCACUAUCUUCAUCAGAGGAUUUGAUGCAUGAACACUGUAGAUGAUUGAAUUGAGCUUCACUGGAUGAUAGCAUGUGUUUGCGUUUCCUCUUAUUACUCAUGAUAUUACAAUUUUAUCCUUC